AGUGACUUUGCCAUAACCAGCUGAGUUCUUAUGAUAUAUUCCUGCGACCUGCAGCACUUUUUAAAAACAUUCAUAUUUUCUAGAUAUUUUGGUCAGAAGCACACUUACUUAGUUCAGAUAUUUUACGUCAGUGGUUCUCUGCUGGAAAGGUGUAGCAGAAGCAUUUGGUAGCUUUUGCCAGGUGUAUACAUACACCCAGCAGCUUCCCACCUUUGAGGAAGAGUUGGAGAAGCAGUGGGGCAAACUGAAAUUUAGGUAUGUGGGGUUAGAAGAAGCCAAAUGGAUAAUCUAUCUUAUCUCAACCCUCAAACUUUAAGAAUUAUGGUUCCAAGUGGAAUCUCUGCUUCUCAACAACAAAUAAAAUCCUAAGUCAUUGAAACAACUACCUAACACAGACCUACACCUGAAGUGGCAAGUUAUCCAGCAUCCAUUUGAAUAAAUCGACUUAGCUUUUGUGUGGUUUUACUAUGCUUGUAUUUUGCUAAAAAAAAAAACCCUACAUGUAGAGUCUGAAACCCUGAGUUGCUCCUUGUUAAAUGCUCUUGCAUGUUUGAGCUCUUGUAUGUAUGAUCUUAGUCUUUCAUGUUUUAAAGAAUUUUUUCCUCUUUAUUCAUAAAGUGUUGAGCAAAAGGCUGGAGUGGUGCCGAAGUUUUAUGUUUCUUUCACAAAGAAUUGUUAUUGGAAGUUGUUUGCUUAGUAUAUACCAGGAAAUUAAUGAUUUUAACAUUUUUUAAUUUAAAGUUACUACUCAAAAGUGGACAGAUUCCAAGGCAACUAAGAGAUCCUUUACUUUGAGAAAAAUUUAUGGGAGUGAAAACCUUUUCUUUUUGUAAACAGUUGCUGAUAUACAAUAUCCUCUGGGGUGCCAGUUCUGGUAUUUAUGUUUUAAUUAAAGAGCACCCUGCCUCUCUAUUUGUGGGCCACUUAAAAGGAGUGGGUGUCUUGGUGAGAAGUUCACAAGGUUGGUGGCUGUAGCUGAGUUUAGGAUUGACUUAGCUGGGGCAGCAGUGGUCUAUGAAUGCCAAGUGCUAGGAAUGUUUGGAAUGUAGACUUGCCAGCACUGAUAGGGUUUGCUUUGUUCCCUCGUGUGACUUGACCCAUUGAGAAGUUGUGAUUCCCUAGGAAGUUUUAAUAGUUCAAAGUGUUUAGUUAAUAAAGAGAAUGGCCACAACAUAAUUCAGCUUGUUUUCACCUGCUGCCUCAAAGAUUAACUUUCUUAACCAUAAUGGGAUAGAACUACCCUUUGCUUUGAAAAAGAAAUUUAUGGAGCUCAUCACAUUUGUUAGUUUCCACAAACAUGAAGCUCUCUGUGGGGAUUUUUGUAUCAUAAAAUCCCAAGGCAUUGGCAGCUUAACCUUGUGGUAACUUCAUCUAAAACCCAAUCUCAGAGAAAGGGCACACCCGCCGUAUCAGCUUAAUCUUUCACUAGACUCAGAAGGGUUUUGAAUUACUUCAGGAAAAGUAGUGACUGAUAGAGCUUAACCUUCCGUUUUCCUCAUUUAUUUUCAUUAGAGAAUGGGAGUGGAAUUCAGAACAUUCAGAUGUGGAGUUAACGUGCGUCACUGCUGCCAGCCCCUGCUGCCAGCGAUAGGUUCUGUGUUUUUCCAGUGGGAAACUCAGAUCCACAGACUGAUCCUGCAGACCGGCACCUCCUUGCCUUUUCUGCUUUCCUCCUGAUUGUUGCUUAUUCCUUCAAACAUCAGCUGACUGGACAAGGCCUCUAUGAACGCGGGUUUCAGAACAAAGGUGAUCUGUAGAAGCAGCACGUCACAGUGCUUCGAAAUGUCUUAUGAGUGGUGUGCUUCCAAUAAUGGCACGGGAACAGAAUCCAUUCUCGAGCAGAGAGGAGGGUAAGUUUUUUCCGUGCUAAUGAUCCAGGAAUGGAGCACUCCCUGGGAAGCCCUCAGGAAAGGUCUUGUACAAAUCAAUACUGCCAGUCAAGUGUUUCUUCCACUGGGGAUAUCAAGGCUAAAACUCACUGGGCAGGAAAAUUCAGGACUGGACCCCAGUAUCUUUAAUUUUGAUGAAGGUUUUGUUUGAAGUCAUUUACAAUAAAAGGCAAAAUGAAUUCUAAUCUUCAAGCGAAGAAGAAGAAGGAGGAGGAGGAGGAGAAGGAGAAGAAGGAGAAGGAGAAGGAGAAGAAAUUUUAAGAUGGAGUUAUUAAAUGGCCCAGGAGAAAUAAACUCACAUCAAACGAAGCUGAGUCUGUUAUUUCUGAAAAGCCUUUUUUUCCUCUGUUCCUUAAAGAGCAAUCACACUGAUCUAGAGGGAAUUUUAUUUUUAUCCUUUCUGGCUUAACUUCUGUUUAUUGCAAAGGAGGUUAAUAUCUUCCCUAAACUUGGGUUUCGUAACACAGCAUUAGGACCUGACAACUAACAUCUUAUUGAAAUACCUGGGAUGAAACAAAACAUCAUUGGCUUGUACUUGCUCCUAUAAACCUCAGUUUUCAAAAGCUUUCCAUGUCAAUUACCUCCCAUAACAAAGCAGGUCACGCUGGCCUCCUGAUGACGCUGAGAGGGUCAUAUCAUCAGUCAGGGCCUUGCUUAGACUUCACAGUCAAAUCUAAUUUCUUGUAGUUACUCCUGAGAGUUAGGCUGCCUUAAUCAAUUGAAUUCCUGAAGAAAAUGAGGACCCCAGAAGUAAACCUGAAUUUAUUAAAAACAACCUUGCAAUCAAAAUUUCCUGCAGCUACAGGGCUUGCUAAUGCCAUUCACCCAAUACGUGCUACUCAGCAGUUUUAAGGAUGUAUUUUCUAGACUAUAUUGAGGUCUCUUCCCAUUAGAGGAAAAAUGUUGAAUGGAAUGCAAUUCAUACAAUAUUAAUCUCUUGCUCUACUUUACAGCUUAGUAAUAAAGUUAUUUAUGCUGCCAGAGGCAUUUCAUGACAUUAAUGGUGGAAAGAGAGCAGUAGACAGGUGGACUGAGUCUGUGAUGGUGACAAAGGGCGGAAUAACAGCAUCUCUCUGCAAGGCUACAGAACAGGGCCAUGAGCAAGAGGAAUGACCCUGGAAUGAAUUCUUCAUACGAUACACAGAAGAGUAAUUGAUGACUAGAUCAAUCUCUGUCCUAUCUCCUGGAACAAAUGAAUAGCAGAAAUUGUCAAUUAGAUGAACAUAGUCUAGAUGUAGGUCAACUAGCUGCCAAUCACAAAAUCUAUCUCUUUUCCAGAUCAAAUAUAUCCUUUCAGAUCUAAUUAUGUAUUCUGUGUCUAACUCUCCACAUAUUAUCACAAACUAUACUCUCAACCACACUAUGUUUAUUCACAUGGACAUAUUUUUAUCUGAUUAUGCAAUUUUAUAAACCUUUAUCUAUUCUAUUUUAUUUUUUCCUACAUCCAAUACCAACUAGAAAAUGGUAAUGCCACCUUGCCCAAGGGUUUGCUGUCUCCCACAGCAUCCGCUACAAUGGUAAAUACGAGACAGACACACACAAAGUGUCUGUAAAUAAAGAAAUACAGAGCUAACAUUUUGUCUGAUGGAAGGUUAUAAUACUGUCAUUUUCCAUGAUCAGAUGUAGACCGUUCAAAAAGAAGGGAGUCAUGCCAUAAAUAAUUCAGAACAGAAGACCUGAAAGUCAUUUAUAUUUUACUUUGAAAUGCAUUGAGGCUGGCCACAUCUUUAUAGAAAUGUGCAAAUACAAAAACAGUCCACAAAUGACGAUCUGUGUGCUGUGGUAAGCACAGAGAUGAGAAGGGUACAAGAACAUUUGUGGUUGUGUCUGAUCAGUUUUCCUCCCCAGCCAAUCCUUAUAGCAUCUUACAUCCUCCUGUGUAACUGUCUGCCCCGUCUGGUGAACUCCAACAGGAAAGCAAACUCACACAUCACUCCAGGCUCUUCCAUCUGAUUUCUCUGUUAUUAUGUGCAACCUAAAGGCUGGCACCUCAAUAACUCUUACACAACCUGCUCUCUUUCCUGCAGUUUUGAAUUUCAGACCAUGUGAUGGAAAAACAGAAACAGAGCAUUCCAGAGCCGGUAGACACUUAGCAUGCUCCUAAGGAUUUCUAGAUACCCACAUUCCCUGAGCAUCCAAUAUG